GGGGACGUAGCUCAACGGUAGAGCUCACAUAAACUACCAUUGCCUGGGUAGUAGUAGGGGGGACUGUUUUCUUCGGAGAGUGGAACCUGCUUUGCCCGUGGCUGGUUUCGAAAUGUGGUAUUGAGCUGGUUCGACUCCAGCCGUCUCCA